GGGGUAGAUAACUAGAAAAACAGCAGCAUGAAGUGUGGAUUGGAGUACUUAAUGGUGGCACCUGGGCAAAUUAUUCUAGGCAUGUCUGCACAGACCUCAAAUGAUGGAGCAUUCUCCUCCCCUCCUCUGGCUGUCCUUUGUCAGACUCUACAAUCAUCGCUAGAAGAAAAAAGUUGACUUAACCGUUCUUUGUUGAAAUUCGGGACUAUGUUAGAGAUACCAGGUCUCAAUCAAAUACAGCCUUCAUUAAAAGAUUCUUACGUAACCAGAUCCUAUGAGCAGAGAGCCAUCAUGCCUCCAACUUAGUUUCUUCAGAUUGGCUGGUUUUGGUGCUCAGCUUUUGACUUUACCCACCUUCCUGACAAAGUUUUGAGGACCACUAGGUAAGCAUGCUAUCUUCAACAUUAAAAAAAAAAUCAUGAUUGAAGGCAGCUGCACUUCAUAUAUCAAGGAGCAUUGAAUAUAACUAACUCUAAAACUUCAUCAGGUCAUGAGGUUGUAUUGACAUCAGUGUAUUUGGAUUCAGCUGCGAUAAUCACGUGGCGCAGUCUCUUUUCCUCCCCGCAAUGCCCUGCCUCCCUUGGAAGACUCUCUCCACCCCACCCCAGCCCCAUUCAGCUUCGUUCAGAAAAACCUUCAUUUUUAUCUUCCAUUAAAGUUUGUUUGAUGAAAAGGC